UACGGAGGGUGCGAGCGUUGUCCGGAAUCACUGGGCGUAAAGGGCGCGUAGGCGGCCCGGUAAGUAGGGGGUGAAAUCUCACGGCUCAACUGUGAGGCUGCCUUCUAGACUGCCAGGCUCGAGCACAGUAGAGGCUGGUGGAAUUCCCGGUGUAGCGGUGGAAUGCGUAGAGAUCGGGAAGAACAUCUGUGGCGAAGGCGGCCAGCUGGGCUGUUGCUGACGCUGAUGCGCGACAGCGUGGGGAGCAAACAGGG
rnacentral:rRNA from 1 species